rnacentral:rRNA from 1 species
CUUGUUCGCCGGCUCAAUCCUACCGCGGUGCUCUUUACCGAGUGUCGAGGUAGGCCGACACUGUUUACUUUGAACAAAUUAGAGUGCUUAAAGCAGGCUCUUAAAUCAGCCUGAAUAGUGGUGCAUGGAAUAAUGGAAAAGGACCUUGGUUCUAUUUUGUUGGUUUACGGAAUCCAAGGUAAUGAUCAAUAAGGACAGGCGGGGGCAUUCGUAUUGCGGCGUUAGAGGUGAAAUUCUUGGAUCGUCGCAAGACGCACUAGAGCGAAAGCAUUUGCCAAGUAUGUCUUAAUUGAUCAAGAACGAAAGUUAGAGGCUCGAAGGCGAUCAGAUACCGCCCUAGUUCUAACCAUAAACGAUGCCAGCC